AGAGGAUCUCUUUCCUCAGAGUCUCACUCUGACUCCGAGUCUUCAUCCAGCUAUGAGUCCACGAAGAGUCACUGGUCUGUGGAUCAACCCGUUGCCUUUCAAUCAGAACCAAGACCUGCUGAUGAGGGCGUCAGCCAGCAGAGCUCCCAGGUUCUCCAUGGAGGCUCCGCCCCUCA